UGGAAAUGUAAGGUUAAAAACUAGAUGAUUAAUAGUUAUGUUCUUUAAAGUAAAAUUAUUUGGCGGUACUUUAGCCUUUUCAGAGGAACCUGUCCUUUAAUAGAUAAUCCACUAUAGAUAAAACUUUUAUUAGGAAUUUAUAUAUCGUUGUUAAAAAUAUUUUAUUAGAAUUUUAAUAUUUAAUAAUUUUAAGGUAAAUUUAAAUCAGAUCAAGGUGUAGUUUAUAUAAAAGUAGAGAUGGGUUACAAUUAUUUUAAUAUUGGAAUUUACUAUGAAAAAUAGUAAAUGAAAUUGGAUUUGAAAGUAAUUAAUUUUAUUUAUUAUUAAUGAUUAAGCUCUAAAGUAUGU
rnacentral:rRNA from 1 species